rnacentral:rRNA from 1 species
CCUACGGGAGGCAGCAGUAGGGAAUCUUCCACAAUGGGCGAAAGCCUGAUGGAGCAACGCCGCGUGUGUGAUGAAGGCUUUCGGGUCGUAAAGCACUGUUGUAUGGGAAGAACAGCUAGAAUCGGAAAUGAUUUUAGUUUGACGGUUCCAUACCAGAAAGGGACGGCAAAAUACGUGCCAGCAGCCGCGUUAAUACGUGUGUCCCGAGGGUUAUCCGGAUUUAUUGGGCGUAAAGCGAGCGCAGACGGUAUAGUAAGUCUGAUGUGAAAGUCCGGGGCUCAACUCCGGAAUGGCAUUGGAAACUGGUUAACUUGAGUGCAGUAGAGGUAAGUGGAACUCCAUGUGUAGCGGUGAAAUUCGUAGAUAUAUGGAAGAACACCAGUGGCGAAGGCGGCUUACUGGACUGCAACUGACGUUGAGGCUCGAAAGUGUGGGGAGCAAACAGGAUUAGAUACCCUAGUAGUC